AAAGAUGAUGCGCACAGGCUUGGAUGGAGACAUACUGUGUUGCAAGGAAUAGAAAACUGUAAGUAGUGAAGGAGAGUCUCUGCUGACAGAGGAAAAGCCUACGGAUGUGCCUUGCAUUGCAGCAUGUCGGCAUCCUCAAUACCUGUGCUGGUUUUCCCAAGGGAAGAACUGAACACCUGGAAAGGAGAACAGGCUCCUGAGGUUGUGCAAAUGGCAUCUGAUUUCUUUUGGUGUUUUUAAAAGAUAUCGUCCAAGGGAGACUUUAUUGGUAUAUCUGGGGACUUUUUUGAGUUUUUGACAUACUCAGAAGCAGUUUGAAAGAAGAAAUAGUAUAUAAAAUGCAACCUGGCAAAGAGGUUUGAAGGGGAACUGCUGCUGGAAAAGAGUACAGCAUGAGCAGGACGGAGCAGCCACCAUCCUGCUCCCUGCCUCCCUCACCCUGAAUGCCAACAUCCUCCCUGCCCCUGCCCAGCCCUUGCAGUUGUCCUUACACUGAUGCACUGCCUUGUCCACUGCACCCAUCCUUGGUGCUUAAUGUGCAGUGACAGGAGCUCUCAUUUUUGAAGGUCUAAAAGCCCUGCUUUCAGGAAUCAUGUGUAAAGCAUUUCUUUUAAAAGUGAAGGGAAAAAAAAAAAGCAAACAACAUUUGUUGUUGUUUGUUGUUUUACUCUCAAGGCUAUUGAUAAAAGCUUAGAUAGAUGUGAGAGUAACUCGCUUACUGGUUCUGGAUGUGUUUAUUUUGAAUGGAAUAUAAAAUCCGUCCUCAAAUAUUUCAAGGCACAUUUUAUAACAGACAUUUGUCUACUGAAAUGAUUGUAAAAGGAAAAAUAAUGGAAUAAUCUUUUCUUUAUUUUUAAUCAGGUCUCUCUUCAAUCUAUAACAAUAUUCCAAUUAAUGACUUGACCUAUUAUAUCAUUCUGUUAUAUGCUAAUAGACUUAAUAUACUCCAUUUUCAAAAGUGCUUUCCAAGGUUAUUGUAUCAAUUAUUCUUAUUAAUACUCUUCUGAUGGUCCUAUGGGCUGGAUUGAGAUAAUUUAAGGCUUGUUAUCUCUGUAUCUCCUUAACCAUUUAAAAUCAGGCUAUGUAGAUGCUAUUUUUUUUUGAAUGUUAUUACAGGCACGUUGAAUUGUGUGUUACCAAAACCCUUCUGCUAUAAUACUGUCAAAAGAAAGUAAUGCCAUGUUUAGCUGUAUGUUGAACAAACUAAUGGAUGCAAAAGAAAUUGUAAUGUGGUAAAUAAUCUUCUGUCUACUAUAAUUAAGGAUGUAGAUGAAAAGAGGAAGAUUACUUACAUACUAGCAUGAAAGGAAAUGACCGUGAAUGAAAAUAAAUUGUGGGCAGCCCUCCCCAACCAAAAGGACUGUUCCUCGGUCUCUCCUGCUGUCACCAGACAGCGAGAUAUGGGUAUCAUCAUGAAACCAAGCUUCUCAGAUUGCACCAUCGACCUACCAUCUCGUUAUGCUGCAUUAGCAAAUUAUUCUUCAUUCAGAUGUUGGAAAGUACUGACGUGGCAUUUCCUUGGCUGACGUGACCUGGUGUAGGUCUGUGGAUGUAUCAUGUUGUAUCAAACUGUGGUAACAGAAUUUCAUGAAAAGUGAGAAAUAUUUAAAUGAUUCAAUACCUAACACUGUGUAACUACAAAAUGAGCUCCCUUCAUCCUCUCUGCCCUGCCUUUUAGGAGCGUUUGUAGGACAUUCGUUACCCAGAACCGUGGUCACAGCAAACAUUGUCUUUCAUAGGAAAACUGACAGAUAGGUGGAAAAUAAUUUCAGGUGGGGAUAGGUCAGUAUGAGAUCUUUUCUGUGUAUUUGACAUAAUGUAUAUUGGAGAGUGGUGAAUGACCCAUCUUGUGUGCAAGCCACAAAGACUGUAUCAAUGUGGUGCCAAAACCAAACUGAAAUAAAAAUUGCAUCUCAUCUUUAUUAAUGGGUUUCUGCCACCUGCAACGAUAAUCUUUCUCUAGAAAGAGGCAGAGAUGGAGAACAUAAAACCUGGAGAAAGGGUCCAAAGUAAUCCCUUUCCCACCAUGCAGAGUAGCUAAAGAUGAGCUUGGUUCUGGUUUAUGCAUACUAUGUUAUAAAGCAGUGGAGGACAUAGGGACUUCUAUUGACAGAUGCAGGAGGUUGAAUAUGCUUCAUCCUUCUCUGACAUCUCACUUGGUCUGAUCUCGUCUCUAUAUUCUCUCCCAUACCUGUUCUCCAAGCUUCAGUCACGUGGGACUACUUUUCUGCAUUUUCUUGCUCUGCGGUUUCUGUACCGCUUCAAAAUCUCAGGUGAAAUAAACUUUUCUUCUGAC
ensembl:lncRNA